ensembl:lncRNA
ACUCCCAUCCUCUGUUGCCUGGUAACAGCCCUUGGCUGUGCCAGUUGCUCAGGCUCUCUGAGUCUCACACUUUCUGUAUCCUUUUCACACUGAGGACUGGCCGCAAUCCCUCUGCCUUCAGAUCUUCAGGGAACUCUCACUUCUUCCUGCCUUCCCUAGAACCUAUGGGUUCUUAUCACAGUGGCUAAACACUUCUACGAGCUGUUUGCUCACUAACCUUGCCAGUAACGCCAGAGGGGGGUGGCCUCACUGUCACAUCACAGACCAGGACUCUGGAAUACCAGAGGGUGUGGAACUGGCCCAAGGUCCCAGAUCUUUCUCACUUCAGAUUCCUGGGACAUGUGACUUGCUGGUAAGGACAGGAAUAUUAAGAGUUUAAAAGUAGGUGGUAGCCCAUUUGCAGUCCAAGCUAUUUGGGAGGCUGAGGCAGGUGGAUUUCUGCAAGUUUGAGGCGAGCCUAGCUUACAUACUGAAUUCCAAGACAGCUAGAGUUGUGCAAAGAGACUCUGUCUCAUUCCUGCCUUCAAAAAAAAAAAAAAAUUAAAAGCAG